AACUGUCAUUCAUGCAAUGUAACAAAGACAAUCAGUUAACAUGGCUAAAGAGAGAUCAUAUACAAUUUCUCUUCUUUUUCUUCUUCUUUCUCUGCUUCUGUGUUUUUCAUCUCAAUCUCAAGUUGGUGUUGCCGAGGCCAAACGUCACACACUUGCUACCAGGUAUUCAGAUUCUCGAUGCGCCAAUAAAAUUCUCAAAAUUCCAAGUAAAUUUCUGUUACAAAAUUAGAAAACAAACAUUCUUAAAUAAAUUGUCUGUACAUAGUUAUGGUUCAAGUUUGCUGAGGGGGUGUAAACUAGCGCCAGUGCUAAAGAACCUAAUAAUAUGAAUUUGCACGUCUUGGAAAGAGAUUCACUUCAAUUCAGAGAAUGGGAGAUGACAAGUAUGAAGUAGGAAUGAGAUUUUGGUUUGCCACAAGAAGUAUAGCAUAGACAUAAAGAAAAUUUUGUCUUUUACAUUUUCAAAAACCUGAAAAUCAAAGGAUUACACCUCACUCGAAGUCACCCAAAGGAAAAGGACCAUAAGUGAUAAAAUGGAGUUUUCAAAAAGUGAAGGAGAGUACAAGAAGAGUCGACUUUAUAAUUGUGUAACUGUUAAAAGUCUAUCAUGGAUUUGCUUAUACAUAAAUUCAAUAUAUGUUACAUAAACUAGAUAUUCCAAAAACUUAUGUGGAAUUUUUAACCUAAAAGGAGAAAUAGUCUUCAAUUAUGUUUCUCUUUUAGCAUAAACAAUUAAAACCGAGAAUCUGUUAAAUCAAUAAAAAUAUAGGGUUGCUAUAGAACCUAAAGUGGCUCUUGAAAAUGGUGGCAGUGAAAGUAGGAUACUGAAGCAAACAGUGAAGUAAGUGCAACACAUGAGUUACUUUUCUAUAGAUGAGAGCUGAAUGAUGUGCUUGUUCACACAAAAAAAAAAGCUGAAUGAUGUGCUGAUGUAAGAAGAGUCAUGUAAAGGAGACUAACACCUAAGGGAAGUAGGGAACUAAACUCAAAACAUGGAAAAGCAAAAUUGCACAGAACAUCUAACACCAUGAAAGAAGCAUCUGUGGAACUGAAGAAUGCAUCAUAUAAAACACUUUGGGAAUGUCAAACCGAAGCAUGCAGCAAUAUCAUUGCUCUAGAGUAAGCUAUGAUCCCUUUCUUUUCACUGUUUGUAUAUUCAUCUACAUUAGUGCAACUGGUAUCUUGAAGAAUGUAUAAUUUUUCAUAUAAAUUUCUGAUGAAAUAACAAGAAUUCACCUACUAAUGAAACAUUGAAGAUGCUAAGAAACUAUCAACACUCUACAAUCUUUCUCUCACUACUAAGAAACAAAAGAUGAUUGAAAACUUCUCUCUAACACAUCACAACACAGACCAAAAACCUUUCCCUCUCAUCCUUUUUAUCACCCCUGUGGAGCAAAACUCCAAUUCAAGAACGGUUUCUGCUCCGGCGGGUCCUCCUGCCAGGAGUUGAAAUCAUAAGAAGGCUGG